CACCGCCGCGGGAAUACGAAGGGGGCUAGCGUUGUUCGGAUUUACUGGGCGUAAAGGGUGCGUAGGCGGACUGAUAAGUCAGGGGUGAAAUCCCAAGGCUCAACCUUGGAACUGCCUUUGAUACUGUUAGUCUUGAGUUCGAGAGAGGUGAGUGGAACUGCGAGUGUAGAGGUGAAAUUCGUAGAUAUUCGCAAGAACACCAGUGGCGAAGGCGGCUCACUGGCUCGAAACUGACGCAGAGGCGCGAAAGCGUGGGGAGCAAACAGGAUUAGAUACCCCGGUAGUCCCUGUCUCUUAUACA
rnacentral:rRNA from 1 species